rnacentral:rRNA from 1 species
CAUGUCCUUUUGAUUAUUUUUUAAGGUCUAGCCUGCUCAAUGAGGUUUUAAAUAGCCGCGAUAAUCUGAUCGUGCGAAGGUAGCAUAAUCAUUAGUUUCUUAAUUGGGAACUGGAAUGAAGGGUUGGACGAGAUUGGGACUGUCUCAGGUUUAUUUUAUUGGAAUUUUAUUUUUAAGUAAGAAAGCUUAAAUUUUUCUUAAAGACGAGAAGACCCUAUAGAGUUUUAUAAUUUUUAGGUUUAGGUUAAUAUUUGGAAUUAUUGAUUCUUAUUUUUAAUAAUUAUUUAAUUGGGGUGAUUAAAGAAAUAAAUAAACUUCUUUUUUUUUGUUAACACUGAUUAGUGAGUUAGUUGAUCCAUUAUUUAUGAUUACAAGAUAAAAUUACCUUAGGGAUAACAGCGUAAUUUUCUUUGAGAGUUCUUAUCGAAAAGGGAGUUUGCGACCUCGAUGUUGGAUUAAAGUUAAUGUUUGGCGUAGAAGUUAGGCUA